CCUGAUAUAGUGUAGCGGUGAGCACGUGGGAUUUUGAUAAAUUAUCUCUUCCCGAGUCCCCGGUUCGAACCCGGGUAUCAGGU